rnacentral:lncRNA from 1 species
CAAGGAAGUUGACAUGUCAUCACUUCAUUUUUUUGCGCCUGCGCAUAAAUCUGAGAAACGUGAGUUUGUCAUCAUUUUUUAUCUAGACAUAGGAUAGGUUGUGUGAAAAUAUUACUGAUGUUUAACGUUAAAAAUGGACCAAAAGAUUAAUGCUAAACAACAUUUGACAUGUUUGAACGAACAUAAAUAGAUUAUUUACUAGGUUUUUUUAGCUUUUCGGCGUGAUUUUACCAGCCCCCCAACCACGUUUUGUGGGAGCAUAAUGAACGCUAAGUACUUGGUGUUAUUUGGACAUAAAUUAUGAACUUUGUCAAAAGAAACCACAUUUGUUCCGGACCUGGAAUGCCUUCCGGACCUGGGAUCCUGCCUUCUGAUGGAGAUAAUCAAAGCAGGCAAACAGCGGAGAUGAGCAGCAGCAACGAGGCAGAUGUCGAG